UGGGGAAUAUUGGACAAUGGGCGAAAGCCUGAUCCAGCCAUGCCGCGUGUGUGAAGAAGGUCUUCGGAUUGUAAAGCACUUUAAGUUGGGAGGAAGGGCAGUAAGCGAAUACCUUGCUGUUUUGACGCUACCGACAGAAUAAGCACCGGCUAACUCUGUGCCAGCAGCCGCGGUAAUACAGAGGGUGCAAGCGUUAAUCGGAAUUACUGGGCGUAAAGCGCGCGUAGGUGGUUCGUUAAGUUGAAUGUGAAAGCCCCGGGCUCAACCUGGGAACUGCAUCCAAAACUGGCGAGCUAGAGUAGGGCAGAGGGUGGUGGAAUUUCCUGUGUAGCGGUGAAAUGCGUAGAUAUAGGAAGGAACACCAGUGGCGAAGGCGACCACCUGGGCUCAUACUGACACUGAGGUGCGAAAGCGUGGGGAGCAAACAGG
rnacentral:rRNA from 1 species